UACAGAGGUCUCAAGCGUUGUUCGGAUUCAUUGGGCGUAAAGGGUGCGUAGGUGGCAUGGUAAGUCGGAUGUGAAAUCCCGGGGCUCAACCCCGGAACUGCAUUCGAUACUGCUGCGCUAGAGUACUGGAGAGGAGAUUGGAAUUUACGGUGUAGCAGUGAAAUGCGUAGAUAUCGUAAGGAAGACCAGUGGCGAAGGCGGAUCUCUGGACAGUUACUGACACUGAGGCACGAAGGCCAGGGAGCAA
rnacentral:rRNA from 1 species